UACGUAGGGUGCAAGCGUUGUCCGGAAUUAUUGGGCGUAAAGAGCUCGUAGGCGGUCUGUCGCGUCGGCUGUGAAAACCCGGGGCUCAACCCCGGGCCUGCAGUCGAUACGGGCAGACUAGAGUGCGGUAGGGGAGACUGGAAUUCCUGGUGUAGCGGUGAAAUGCGCAGAUAUCAGGAGGAACACCGAUGGCGAAGGCAGGUCUCUGGGCCGUAACUGACGCUGAGGAGCGAAAGCAUGGGGAGCGAACAGG
rnacentral:rRNA from 1 species